GACAUAUCAUGCAGUUGAGCGCUGAGGUUGGUACUUGUACCAACUGGAUGAGCAGCGAACGGGUGAGUAACGCGUGGGGAAUCUGCCUUUGAGCGGGGGACAACAUUUGGAAACGAAUGCUAAUACCGCAUAAAAACUUUAAACACAAGUUUUAAGUUUGAAAGAUGCAAUUGCAUCACUCAGAGAUGAUCCCGCGUUGUAUUAGCUAGUUGGUGAGGUAAAGGCUCACCAAGGCGAUGAUACAUAGCCGACCUGAGAGGGUGAUCGGCCACAUUGGGACUGAGACACGGCCCAAACUCCUACGGGAGGCAGCAGUAGGGAAUCUUCGGCAAUGGACGAAAGUCUGACCGAGCAACGCCGCGUGAGUGAAGAAGGUUUUCGGAUCGUAAAACUCUGUUGGUAGAGAAGAACGUUGGUGAGAGUGGAAAGCUCAUCAAGUGACGGUAACUACCCAGAAAGGGACGGCUAACUACGUGCCAGCAGCCGCGGUAAUACGUAGGUCCCGAGCGUUGUCCGGAUUUAUUGGGCGUAAAGCGAGCGCAGGUGGUUUAUUAAGUCUGGUGUAAAAGGCAGUGGCUCAACCAUUGUAUGCAUUGGAAACUGGUAGACUUGAGUGCAGGAGAGGAGAGUGGAAUUCCAUGUGUAGCGGUGAAAUGCGUAGA
rnacentral:rRNA from 1 species